GCUUCCUUGGUGUAGUUGGUUAUCACGUGGGUCUCAUAUUGUAUGAUCUAGCAUUGUCUAGAGUAAUCCCAAGGUCGCCAGUUCGAGUCUGGCAGGGAGCA